rnacentral:rRNA from 1 species
UACGUAGGGUGCAAGCGUUAAUCGGAAUUACUGGGCGUAAAGCGUGCGCAGGCGGUGAUGUAAGACCGAUGUGAAAUCCCCGGGCUUAACCUGGGAACUGCAUUGGUGACUGGCAGGCUUUGAGUGUGGCAGAGGGAGGUAGAAUUCCACGUGUAGCAGUGAAAUGCGUAGAGAUGUGGAGGAAUACCGAUGGCGAAGGCAGCCUCCUGGGCCAACACUGACGCUCAUGCACGAAAGCGUGGGGAGCAAACAGG